rnacentral:rRNA from 1 species
UACGGGGGGAGCAAGCGUUGUUCGGAUUUACUGGGCGUAAAGGGCGCGUAGGCGGCCACCGCAAGUCGACUGUGAAAUCUCCGGGCUUAACCCGGAAAGGUCAGCCGAUACUGCGGGGCUAGAGUGCAGAAGGGGCAACUGGAAUUCUCGGUGUAGCGGUGAAAUGCGUAGAUAUCGGGAGGAACACCAGUGGCGAAGGCGGCUUCCUGGACCGGUUCUGACACUGAGGAGCGAAAGCGUGGGGAGCGAUCCGG